UAGGGAAUAUUGGACAAUGGGCGGAAGCCUGAUCCAGCCAUGCCGCGUGCAGGAAGAAUGCGUUAUGCGUUGUAAACUGCUUUUGUCAGGGAGGAAAGUCCUUUUGCGAAAGGAGAUGACAGUACCUGAUGAAUAAGCACCGGCUAACUCCGUGCCAGCAGCCGCGGUAAUACGGAGGGUGCAAGCGUUGUCCGGAUUUAUUGGGUUUAAAGGGUGCGUAGGCGGUAUAAUAAGUCAGUGGUUAAAGGACAUAGCUUAACUAUGGAAAUGCCAUUGAUACUGUUAAACUAGAGUAUUGUAGAGGUUGGCGGAAUUGGUAGUGUAGCGGUGAAAUGCAUAGAUACUACCAGGAACACCGAUUGCGAAGGCAGCUAACUGGACAAAAACUGACGCUGAGGCA
rnacentral:rRNA from 1 species